rnacentral:rRNA from 1 species
CAUACGGCUCAGUAACACGUAGUCAACCUGCCCUGGAGACGCGGACAAACCCGGGAAACUGGGGCCUAUCCGCGAUAGAUGACCUCAUCUGGAAGGAGAGGUCGUCCAAAAGGACGCAUGGGUAUGCUCUGUGCGGACCGCUCCAGGAUGGGACUGCGGCCGAUCAGGCUGUUGGCGGGGUAAUGGCCCACCAAACCUGUAACCGGUACGGGCUUUGAGAGAAGGAGCCCGGAGAUGGACACUGAGACAAGGGUCCAGGCCCUACGGGGCGCAUCAGGCGCGAAAACUUCGCAAUGCGCGAAAGCGUGACGAGGCUAGUCCGAGUGCUUCCUGCUAAAGGGAGCUUUUCUCGGCUGUAAAUAGGCCGGGGAAUAAGGGGAGGGAAACUGUGGUGUC